ACAGAGGGUGCAAGCGUUAAUCGGAAUUACUGGGCGUAAAGCGCGCGUAGGUGGUUUGUUAAGUUGGAUGUGAAAGCCCCGGGCUCAACCUGGGAACUGCAUUCAAAACUGACAAGCUAGAGUAUGGUAGAGGGUGGUGGAAUUUCCUGUGUAGCGGUGAAAUGCGUAGAUAUCGGGAGGAACACCAGUGGCGAAGGCGAGUCUCUGGGAUGAUACUGACGCUGAUGCUCGAAAGCUAGGGGAGCAAACGGGA
rnacentral:rRNA from 1 species